UGCAGGAAUACCCUGGGUCAGUCAGAAGAGCGCAUGCUCCAUUCUUUCCAUUGAAAAGCAGGGGCGUGGCUAACAUUUUCUCUAAAGAGCUCCUAAGAGUUAUGACCGUAACUGGUUUGGAGAGCUUCUUAACAUUCCAAAACAAAUAUGAUCCCAUCUCUCUUAUGUCUUCAAGUCAAUCAGAAAAGCCCUAAGCCCUGGUCACCAGCCCCCCUUUCAUCCCUACUACCAUACAGGAAGUGAAGCUCAUUAUCAUCCCUCCUGGGAAACUGCCUCUCAGUGAACUCGAGAAAACAUAAACCUUGAGGUCACAAACCUUAGAAGAAACGGUUCAGCUCACCUCCCCCACUGACCCAGAGAGCACUGGCGUCUCCACUGCCAACUCCUGCCUCUGUUGUCUCUGCUUACCACUACGGGCUUUUGGUAUUUCAGGAUCAACAGAUUGUAAAGACCAAAGGAAAACGUCUCCUUAUCCCUUUGCAGACUGGACUUGUUCCUGCAUGGACCCUUCAUCCCCAAAGUCCACUAAUCAAGAGACCCUGCUUCUCCAGACGAUGCUUAAAAGUUCACCACCAAUAUUCGCCGGGGCAACUUAUUUUAAAAUUGUCAAGGGAAAACAUGAAUAAAAUACAAAUACUAUAAUCUGAUUGUGUGACUUUGAACAAGCUGUUUAGCCUCUGAAAUUUACUUUCCUCAUUCAUAAUAAUAACCAACAGAUUCUAUAGGACAGGCACUGACUGGUCUAAAUGUUUAUGUGUAUGAACUCAUUAGAGUUAAAAACUACAACUAUAUAAGGUAGGUACCAGUAUUAUUAUCACUUUCACAAGGGAAGAAACUGGACAAGAGAGGUAAAGUGGGUUUUCCAAGGUCACACAGCUAAGAAGCAGCAGAGGCAAACAUUCAAACCCAGACCCUUUGGCUCCAGAGUCCAUAUUCUUAAACGUAUGCCACGGCACCUCUGACUUUGAGAAUAUGGAAUGACGAGUUAGGCUUAUAUCAUGGGGUUGUUGAAAGGAUUGAAUCUAUACAAAGUUUAAUACCUGACACACACUAUGUCCUCAAUACAUGGGAGUCAAUAUUACUAUAUCAUUAUUUUCUAGAUGAAUUUGAUGAAAGCGUUGAGUUGCAAGUUGACAAUUUUAAA
rnacentral:lncRNA from 1 species